UACGUAGGGUGCAAGCGUUAUCCGGAAUGAUUGGGCGUAAAGGGUCCGCAGGUGGCAAUGUGUGUCUGCUGUCAAAGAAUGAGGCUUAACCUCAUCAAGGCAGUGGAAACUACAUAGCUAGAGUACGGUCGGGGUAGAAGGAAUUCCUGGUGUAGCGGCGAAAUGCGUAGAGAUCAGGAAGAACACCGGUGGCGAAAGCGUUCUGCUAGACCUGUACUGACACUGAGGGACGAAAGCUAGGGGAGCGAAUGGG
rnacentral:rRNA from 1 species